CUUGUUAUCAAAAUUUCCUAAAUCGCUAUUUUUCAUCUGCAUCAUCUUCAUCUUGCAACCAUUCCCUCUGUUUACAUUUUAUACAGAUAGAUUGGUCACAAAAAUGCUAAGAAAUGACCAUUUAUUUUUUUUUUCGCCAUGUUUACUACUUAUCAGAAAAUUACUCAACUUACUUUAUUCAGUUUUUAUCUUUUACAUAAACAAUCCAUAAAAACUGGCCAAAUACAAUAAUUACAAAGUCUAUCAGGUUUUAUUAUUUCACUCCAAGUUAUAUAAAUAUCUAUUUAUCAUCAUUAUUUUUACCUUUUAUAAUUUAGCUUCCAAUGCCUGGUUUGUUAAUAGUUCAAUCUAAUCAACUAUAUGCAUCUUUAAGGCUGUCCAGUUGAUAUAUAAAACUUUAUACUCCAUUUACAAAUGACCAGCCAAAUGUUGGCAAUUUACUUUUCUUUUGCCAGGAUCGCCAUUACGUAAGUGUCCACCUAAUCCAUUCAAAUGAUAUUGUGGUCAAGUUUAUGCGUCAAGGAAUUGAAAAUGUAAAAUUGGCCAAUCAAUCAAUGGUUAUACAAUCCAGUCCAAUGGAUGAUCAAUGCAACGUCUUCUCGUCUCAUUUCAAUCAGCAAUUCAUUAGUGGACUUGAUAAUUCAACAAUAAUUGUUCAGCUUGAUUAAUCGUUUCAUCGGUUGGCUCCAACAUUGUACAUCUUUUGAUAUAAAUAUAAGUUCCAAUCUUAAUGAAUAAUACAAAAUUAUCAUGGAAAUGAUGAAGACGUCAAGCUAAUGAUAGAGAGCAUGAGCUCAAACGAUGGUUCAACUCGGCAAAGCAUCUUAAAGAUGCUACUGAUCCUGUUGAUGACGAAGUAAACUUUAUAGGACUUUAUUUGGGCCUCCAACUUGUCUUCAAUUUUAUCCUCUAUCUUAUUCCCAUCUUUGGAUAACAGGCUGUAAAAAUAUGGCCAACAUGAUUACAUUUUUUUAAAAUGUUCAGCUUCUCCAGCUUUUAUACCAUUUCUUGUAAGACAAUCACAUAAUUUAUUAUUCAAUAUUAAAUUUUCCUUGAUUAUUUUGAAUUAAAGCUUGGUUAUUACGGGUAAAGUUGAAUGAACAGGCAACAGAAAAAUGUCUCACAAUCCAUUUAUAAGAUGAAAUUUGGCGAUGACCUUUGUCAACAAUAGAAAGCUUAUCGCCAUUAUCCUCUUACUUGCUCUACUGUAGUUGUUGAUGUUGCUGAUGAUGAUGAUGAUGAUGGCGAUGAUUGAACAACGAAUUGGAAAAUAAUUUAAUUUUAUUUGAUAAAUGGUAUCACAUUUGGUUUAAGGGAUUUUCAUUUAACAGCAAAUAAAGUGAAGAGCAACUGAGGAAGCAAAAAGACGAGAGGGAAAAAUUUGCAUUAAGGCAACUUUCAAAAUGUUGACAAUGCAAAAAUAAUAAUGAUCAUGAUGGGAUGAUGAUGUUUAUUAAUAUAAAUUGUUGUAAACUAAACACCUUGUUAAGUAAUUUAAAAUAUAACAGCAAAUGAUAAAGACUAUAUCAUUUAUUUAAAAAAAGCAAAAAUAAGAAUAACAAAACUAAAAGCAAAAGUAGCCGCUCUUUUGGAUAAAUCACGUGACGUUUAUAAGCAUUAAAAGGAUUGAUUCAGCAUUUUUGCUCAAGUAUUAUCAACAUAAUUGAGACGUAUUUUAUAAUUUGUUUAACUAUAUUUAAUUUAUUAUGUGUUAUCUACCAACAUUUAAACACUCCUAACAUCUAAUGGUUAUAUUACUUGAUUGAAUUUUGGCGAUUCUUGUGUCUAAAACUAUCAUAAGUUAUGGAGAGACUGUGCCUUAUAAAUAAUGGAUGGCCAAUGGGAUGCAAAAUUUACUCAAUAAAGUGAUCGAGUCAAGGAUUCCAUUGAAACACUGACAAACAUGUAACAAAAUGGAUGAAUACGAGAACCGUAAAUGCAAAUGGGGCGAUGAGAGCCGAUUUAUCAGCGUCUACGCUUACAAUAAAACCGUGUUUGAUUUGGUUAUUAUUAUAAUAUUUUUAAAGUAUUAUACGUUCUUGUUUCUGUUUAGCUCGUUCUGUGGAUGUUAUUAUUUAACACCAACAUAGUUAUGGUGAAUCACCAUCUUACUUGGCCCUGCUUUCAAGAUCACCAUCUUUUAUUUUCAAUCUUGUUUAACCCACCCUCAGCCACCCCUUGAUCAUCAUAACUGUAAUCAUCAUCGUCAUGAUCAUCUUCCAAGGAAAAGGACUUUUCUAUCGCUCUCUUUUUUACAACAUUUCAAUUAAGGAUGAGGGAACAUUAAGUGAAUGGCUUGAAGAUGAAGACGAAAAAGCUUCCGUUAUAUACAUUGGAACCAUUAUACAAUGGACUUUAUUAUUCUCCUUGUUGAUGAUAAUGAUGAUUGGCCUGUCUUCUCGUCUUCUUCAUCAUCUUCUCUCAUCCUUCUUUGCUCUUACCAAAAAGCUUUAAUGUUAUCCUUCAGUCUCUUCAACAUCUUAUUCAUACUCAAUGGGACUUUCACAUCAUCAUACGUCUCAUUUAUUUUUGUCUUUACAACUGCACAUUUCAAUUUGAUCAACGGUUAUAUGGCGAAAAGAAAUUGCUUCAAUUAAUCUUAUCGUUAUUAUUAUUAUUACCAUUAUUGUGAUUAUGAUUUUGCUGAUUAUUAUUCCCAUUAUUCAUUUAUAGAUGUUAAAGAGUCUCUUUUUCGUUGUGUACUAAACCUCAUCUCAUUGAACAAAUUGAAUAUGUUUAAUAACCUUUCUUUAUUGACCAAUGAAUAUUAAUGGGGUUAAUCAUCUUUCCUAUUUGACAGUUAAAGAAGCCAACCUUAAAACAAUGAACAAUUCCAGAUGAGUUCCUAAUCAUUACCCAUUUGAAAAUGUAUAAACAUGUUGGAAAGGCUGGGAUUUCUUGGUUUCAAUUCAAUACUUGUUUUUAAUUCUAGAGCUUAAUCCAAUUGGCAAUGUCAGACGAAAUUAUGUAACCCGAACCACAGGCAAAGGACGGAUAAACUGAACCAGGAAAAAAAUUUUCAGCCCAUUUACCAUAGA